GCCAGGCACAGUGGUGCAUGCCUGUAAUCCCAACAGCUUAGGAGGCUGAGGCAGGAGGAUUAUGAGUUCAAAAAAAGCCUCAGCAACUUAGUGAGGUCCUAAGCAACUCAGUGAGACCCUGUCUCUA
rnacentral:sRNA from 1 species